ACAAAUUGUGUUUAAGGUGAUGCUCACUCACCCAAACUGUCCAGAAAGUUCUCUCCACCCUGCUGACAAGAGGACCGUCGGAGUCCAUCUUCAAAACUUCCGUCUAGUUGUCUUUAAUGUGUUGAUCUUCUCUGGAUUUAACCUUGGAAAGUCGAAGAACUUAAACCAGCCUGUCGGUGAUAUUUUGAUAUUCAAACAGAAACUCGGUAACAAACUGUAGGACGGGUUUUUGGACACCCCCGUUGGCUGUCAGUCAGUCACGGUUCCUGAAUCAGGCAUGUCCGGUGUGUUAUUAUGAGGAAGAAGCUGAUUAACACAGCUGAGUCGCCCCUGCAUCAUGACGAGUCUCCGUGGUUGCACAGUUUGCGGAUGUAGGGUCGUGUCCAGAGGUGGGCUGUGGGGCCCCAUUGAAUUCUGACUAGUACCACCCUAAAAUCCCACACUAUGAUUGGUCUAUUUACCUUGUGCAUCUUCUUGUUGAGCUCAUAAAGAAUUAGGCCUGUACAAUA